UUUAAUUUUAUGUAUUUGAUUCUUUUUGGUUUCAACAUAAUUAUUAAUUCAAGUAUUAAAAAAACAUAAUUGAGAAGAAAAUAUUGACGUAUUCUUUUUUUGCAUCAAAAGAGUUUUUGGUGGGAAAUAAUGAGGAGGUAAAUUGUGACGCUUUUAUGCAUCAAAAGCGUUUUGGUGGGAAACAUGGGGAGGUAAAUUGUGACGCUUUGUUGCAUCACAACCAAUUUGGUGGGAUUUCGUGCCUAAUGAAGCUCGACAAAACUCCACCAUAAAAUGCGUCCUUAUAUUGAAGGAGUGGCUUAAAAAAGCGUCACAAAAGCCAAAGAUUAUGGCUACUAAAAGCGUCAUUAUAUAGUGGCCCAAAAUAUAAUGACGCUUUACUGAAGCGUCAUUUUAGAAAAUUGUGACGCUUUUUGGUGUCACUUUUUGACUGAAUAAGCGUCACCUAUGAGUCCUAUUUUUUUUGUAGUGUCUUGAUCUACAUUUUACUAUUACCACUUGAAUCAUCAAUAAUCUGCAAAGAAAAUUUAAUGUCAAAUCACUACUACAAAAAUGGGCAAAGAGAUCCUUAAUAAAAGACCCUUUGGAUGACAUAAGGGGUCUCUUUAACAAAAUAGAUCUAAUAUUAGAGAUAAAGGGUCUCUUAUGAUUCCCGUGGUCCACAAAUUACCCAAGGGAGGAUAAGAAAGAGACCCCCUAAGUGAGCUCACAGGUCCGUUAUGUGUACUGGGGUCCACACCUCCACAAAACAUGAUAAGAAAAAUACCUCUUAAAUACCCCACGGGUCUAUUUUAUACACUUGGGGUCCGCAAAACCUAAAAUGAUAUGAUAAAGAAUAGACCCUUAAGUGAGGCCACGGGUCUCUUUUACCCCAAAUUAAAAUGAAGUAAAAUAAAAUUAUACGCACUAUGGAAACGUAUGUAAUACCCAAUUUCCCGUGUGAUGCCCUUGUUCGUUUUUCUUCCUUAGUUCAUUUGUAAAAUCUCUAUUGGAGUCUCAGCCUUUCUCUCUCCUCUAGUUGUCUCUCGAUGAUAUUGUCUCUCGUCGCCGCCCACACCGCCAUAACCUCCCCUCGCCGCCCACACCGCCAUAACCCACACCUCCACCACCCUGGUAAACCACCUCCUACUCCGCCGCUAUACCGAGUUGGUCACUCUUGACUAAUAUCAAAUCAACUGUUAGGGUUUCAUAAUCCGUAGUUGAAAGGAAAACCAAUUCUUUUAACGAGGUUUAGUUUCCAAAAGCUCAAAAGGAAGGAACCUAUAAGAGUACUGUCCCCACCUACAGGGUAACUCAGGUAUCCCGAUCUCAUCUCUUUAAUGUUCUUAUUUGCAUUUUAUUGGGUAGAUAUGUUAAUUAGGGGUCGGGAUUUGGUUUUGUUUGUUUUGAUUUGAUGUGGUCUAUGUAUAUAUACAGGAAAUGAUUGAACUUGAUGCUCUAUUCUAAGGCUAUUUGUCACUGUUUGUUAAAUAAUUUGGAACCUUUGAAUUGAAUUGGGAACUUGUGGUACUGUGUUAAUGUUUAACAUUAAAUUGUUUGAUAUUUUACUUGAAUUCUGUAGAUUUCAAAAUAAUUGUGGUAGGUCUUCGUUUCCUAUAAUUUUCUCUUUUUGAAGAAAUUUGGUUUAAAUGAACUUUUAUAAGUCUUUUACUCUGUUGUUGUUAACUUUUUAUAUAUUUGUACCAAUAUAUUCAUAUUCAACUGAGAAGUUUCAAGGUCUUCACAUUCGUAAUUUGAUGGUUUCAAUAAUUUAUUUGAGCUGUAUGACUGUGAGUUUGAGUGUGUUCUCAUUCGUAGUUUGAUGGUUUCAAUGAUUUAAUUGAUUUAUUUGAGCUAUAGCUCAAUGAUUUAUUUGAGCUAUAUGAGUGAGUUUGAGCUAUACAAAAUGAUAUAUGCACCGCUUGCUAAUGUUUUUAAGACUUGUUUUAGAAUAAGUUUGUCUAUUUUGUUUAUUGUAUACUAUUUUGGAUCUCAUGAGCACAGUGAGGAUACAUAUAAGUUGUACUUGUAGCUUAGGAUACACAUGAUCUCUUAAGACUCUUAACGGGUGGAUUAACUUUGUAUUGUUUUACUGCAUUUGGCUAUUGAGAUAAAAUGCUUCAUGCUUUGUCAGUAUUUGAAGAGGCUUAUGCUGCCAAUAAUUAACCAAAGAGAAUGAAUUCAUGAGUAAUGAGUGCCAAAAAGCCUUAAAUUCCCUACAUGAACUCCAAAGCGAGCUCAUGCGCAAGUCAAUGCAUGUUGGUUCUUUAGGUAAUGGAUUGUUCAGUAUGCUGUCUAUCUCCUGAAUGCACUUGUUUGCACAUUAAACAACUUUCAUUGUACUGUAGCGUUUGCGGUUGGGACAAGUAAAAGAAAAGACCAAAUGGCUCUCCUCCUUGAGUGGCUUAAAGCGACAAUUAAAGAUUGCAUAUGAAUUUGGCUUUACCAGAGAGGCGACUACGAUGAAUAGGAUAUGGAGAUAUUUGUACGAGAAUUGCAAGAAUAGUUAUGUACUGGUACCACGAGUUAUGAAGGACAUGGUCAGUAGUGGAAUUGGGAUGCAGAGGACUUAUGACUCACCUUCGCACAUUAUCAUUGUUCCAGAGAUGGAAGGAAGCAUCAUGGUGUCUCUAGCGGAUAGAAAUUCAACCAGGUUUAAGUCAAACUUGAAUUCAUUUCCCACUACAUGACAUAAGUAUGGUAGGCCUGGUAUUGGUGAUGCUCAUUCUUCAAGAUCUAUUCCUCUAAUUGAAAGACAUCCUAUUACAGUUUCUCAGUAUUUCGAACAACUUUUAGAUUUACAAAUGUAAAUUUUUAAGUUUGAAGAUCUGUCCAGUCAUGGAUUAUUUGUUUUUGUAGAGGUUUUUAUUAUUGCACAAGUUGUAGAAGAUUUUGAUGUAAUAUUUAUUUAUUUAUUAAUAAAAAUAUUGUCAUUUUUGUUUUUAUGGAGCUACAGAGGUAUAGCGUAUUAUUUUAUUUUUUUUAAAUAAAAAUAUUG